rnacentral:miRNA from 1 species
UGAUCCACGGUUGGUUGAAUCUGUGGAUGUAGAACCUGUAGAUACAGAGGGCCAACUGUAUCU